rnacentral:snoRNA from 2 species
CUGGCAUAAUGAGGAAAAUCCUUAUUUUUCUGAUAUAGUUGAUGAUAAAUACCUCCUACUCAUUCUGA